CACGUUAUGGUGGGCGACUCUAAGGAGACUGCCGGGUGACAAACCGGAGGAAGGUGGGGAUGACGUCAAGUCAUCAUGGCCCUUACGGCCUGGGCUACACACGUGCUACAAUGGUCGGUACAAAGGGUUGCCAAGCCGCGAGGUGGAGCUAAUCCCAUAAAACCGAUCGUAGUCCGGAUCGCAGUCUGCAACUCGACUGCGUGAAGUCGGAAUCGCUAGUAAUCGUGAAUCAGAAUGUCACGGUGAAUACGUUCCCGGGCCUU
rnacentral:rRNA from 1 species